rnacentral:tRNA from 1 species
GCCUGAGUAGCUCAGUUGGAUAGAGCAACGCCUUAACGAAGCGUAGCGCGCGGGUUCGAGUCCCGCCUCAAUUC